rnacentral:lncRNA from 8 species
GUGGGAUAACUGAACCAGAACCCUUUCAACCCAUCCCCUCGGUCCCCACAGCGGAUAUCCUGGUGUACAUCAACGACGUCUGUGUCCUGGGAACGUCUCAUAAAGAGGUGGUGGAGAUGCUGAAGGCAGUGCCUGUGGGCCACAGUGUGGACGUGGUCCUCCGGAGGGGCUACCCCAUGCUCUACAACCCAGAUGGCUGCCUCAAGCAGUCCCAUCCUGGGUCAACUGAUGUCUGUGACCCCCUCCUCCCACCUACCACCACCCAGCCCCAGCCAUUACACCAGCUCCUCCCCCGCCCAUCCACAGCCCCAACCCAUACCCAGUAUCUUAAUCUCAAUGGCGUCCUUUCUCACCACCAUGACGUGGGUUAUAUGGGUCCAGGAGUGGGGCCGGGACUGGAUGCCAAUGGGAAUGCCACCUCCACAGCUACCCGACUGCCACCCUCUUACAGACACUCCAGUGGAAACCUCGCUCACUCCACGGCCCCUUCACCACCCUUUUAUAGAAUAUCCAGUGGACAUCUCUCUGACUCCACUGCCUUUGAUUCACCCUCAUACAGACGGUCUAGUGUGCACCCCGCUCACUCCGCCGAGCCACCCUCCUACAGACGAUCCAGGCGUCACCUAUCUGACUCCACCUCCCCUACAACACCAACUAAUAGGCGUUCCAGAGGCAGCAUCACUGUCACCAACCCCCCGGCCCGCCCACCCCGCUCCCUGAGGGGUCUCGCCCACCUGCAGGCCCCGGAUAACUCCCAGAGUGACAGUGAGGUGGUCUCAGCCAUCGGCUCACACAGGGCAUCCAUGAUCCGUAACCACAACAAUAACUCCCUCUCUACCCCCCCUCAACCCGUGCGCUACAGAACCUCUAAAAGUGACCUGUCAGAGAGUGACCUGUCCAACUCCUCCACACUCCCUGUGUCCAGACAGCCCAUGCCCCAGUCAGGGAGACCCCGCCUUUCAUCCUCCCCAGGCGGAGGGGUAUACUCCCGCCUCAUCAGGCCCCAGGCUUCCCUGCUGAGACCCCCUCCCACCCCUGACAGCCCACAAAUCGGCUUCCAUGGCAACACCAGUGGCAGUGGCAGUCACAGCAGCAUCUCGUCUCCGGGGUUGAUGAGCCGGUGCAGCGGAGGUGGGGUCGGAGGAGGUGGGGUUGGAGGUGGAGGGGAGCUGGUGCCUGUAGCCCUGGCUCAAUGUGAGAGGGGAGGAGAUAUGGGCUUCAGUGUGACGGCCGGGGGACAGGGAGGCAGGCUGGCCCUGGUCAAGAGGGUCUGGGAUAGGAGGCAGUGCUCCUCCCUACAGCCAGGGGAUGCCAUCAUGAAGAUCAACGGAGUAGACGUCCAGAGUCUCAGCUUUGCACAGGUACUGAGGAGGGAAACGUGGAGAGAAAGAAGAUAUGAAAGAGAUGGAGAAUACAUAAGAUUAGGUCAAGUUAAAUCAGAUAUACUAAAUUGA